GAAAUAAGAUGUAAAUUGAAAGGAUCCCUGAUGAAAGGCAUGACAUUCUCGUUUUCUCCAUUAUUACUCUAUUAAAUGAAAAAAUGAGGAGAUUACUCUAUUAAAUAGAAAGAUAAAUACUAUUACUCUAUUAAAUGGGAAGGUGAAAAGAUUAUUUGAUUAAAUGGAAUGGUAAAUGGAAGAUGAAAGGAUUAGUCUAUUAAAUGAGAAGAUAAAUGGGAAGGUGAAGAUACGACAUUGUGAGAUAAAUUGGAUACAUGAGAGGAAGUAUCUGGUAGAGGCGAACUUAAUAUUCAAUAGAAAGGAUGGAGGAGGUGAUAAUAAUACUGGUAGCUAAGUGGGCCCAAAUUCAAUAGAAUUCUACCACGUCGGAUAGAAAACACGGAAAUUAAUAAUUUUGUAUAGAUUAUCAUCAUCAAUGCUAACUAUAUAUUCUUUAUCUAUAA
rnacentral:lncRNA from 1 species